rnacentral:guide_RNA from 1 species
UUCACAAAAACAGAAGACUAAGCAGUGAACUUAAUUGA